rnacentral:lncRNA from 1 species
UCAUCAGUUCAAAUACUAUUAUCAAGAAGAGCUAGCUGUUAUUUUAAUUUACUUCAGUCAACAUGAAGCUUAUGAAGGAGAUUGGUUCUAUCAGAGUGAUUUUGAUGGUUACCUUCAUGGUCAUUGCAUCAUGUACGUUAGUCUUUACAUCAUUUUCUCUGUGUCUCUCACAUUAUUUAUUUAUUUUUCUAUCUAUUAAUCUGACCUAUCUGUCAAUUUUAAUUAACAAAUUAAUUAACGAUGUUAGUUUAUGCUAAUUGAUUAAAUAAACAGGGCAACAAGUGGAAGUUGAAGCCAGGGAGGUGGCCUGUUCCAGCAGCAAUGGUGGCUGCGCUGGUGGCCGCCCAAGUGUUGAACCAGACAGGGGUCAGAUCGGCAUACCCUGUAGCGUCGAUAGUGACUGCCCACCAGUCCCUUGUCCAGGCGGCAAUCCGCCAAAAUGUGUACAAGGCAUGUGUAAAUGCUGAUGGAAUAUUAUUUCUUAAUAAUAUUCCAUCAUUCAAUAAAAUUCAAUAAUAAAAUUUCGAAGUUAUCAUACAUGCUUAAGUAACAUGAAAAAAGAAGAAGAAGAGAACAUUGAUUUAUCUGUUCA